UACGUAGGUCCCGAGCGUUGUCCGGAUUUAUUGGGCGUAAAGCGAGCGCAGGCGGUUAGAUAAGUCUGAAGUUAAAGGCUGUGGCUUAACCAUAGUACGCUUUGGAAACUGUUUAACUUGAGUGCAGAAGGGGAGAGUGGAAUUCCAUGUGUAGCGGUGAAAUGCGUAGAUAUAUGGAGGAACACCGAUGGCGAAGGCAGCUCUCUGGUCUGUAACUGACGCUGAGGCUCGAAAGCGUGGGGAGCGAACAGG
rnacentral:rRNA from 1 species